rnacentral:rRNA from 1 species
CGAACGGGUGAGUAAUAUAUCGGAACGUGCCCAGUAGUGGGGGAUAACUGCUCGAAAGAGCAGCUAAUACCGCAUACGACCUGAGGGUGAAAGGGGGGGAGUCGCAAGACCUCUCGCUAUUGGAGCGGCCGAUAUCAGAUUAGCUAGUUGGUGGGGUAAAGGCCUACCAAGGCAACGAUCUGUAGUUGGUCUGAGAGGACGACCAGCCACACUGGGACUGAGACACGGCCCAG